rnacentral:ncRNA from 1 species
AAAAAUUCAAUGACGGGAACACGUUGUGAUCAGGAAGGCAAUCAGAGAGUCUGUGGCUGGUGAAAACAGAUUUGCUGAUGAUUACAGUAUCGUCCCUAAGAAGCGGAUUGAACAAUAUAGUAGAUCUAGCCGGUUUCCACCGUUAUAUGGAUAGCGUAUGGUUGUACGUAAAGUGUCAUGUUUAACAUGGAAAAAGGAUGGUACCGCGGAUAUAUUCGUUCCUAUA